CGUUAAAAGUCAACUUGAUAAAUUAGUAGGAAGCAAGUAAAUAUCGAAGUAGAAGGCUAAUAGUUUGUGCUUUGACAGUAGCUAACACACGCUAGGUAGUGUGGUCCUGCUCGCAGUUGGGUGACAGAGUGGAACUCCCCUCCAAGUGAAGUAACAUGGACAGAAGUGAUGGAAAGCCAACCCAACCCAUUCCAGUAUCGAUGGAAGGAAGAUCCAGGAUGAAGAACCUCACUGCUCAUCUGCUUUGGCGGCUUCCCGACGUGCAAAGGCCCUAAUGGACGGGCGACUGGAGGAAUGUGGACAAUGGAUGAUUGCCGGCUUACUGCCGGUGGAGCCUGACGAGGAAGAGGAGGUGUUUACGACAUCGUGGUCUUGUCUUGCUGGACUGAGAGAGCCAGAGGGACCGGCCUUAAUCUCGUCCAGAGAAUCGAAAAGCAAAUCAAAAGACAGCU